ACAAUUGGAGGGAGAGUCUGGUGCCAGCAGCCGCGGUAAUUCCAGCUCCAAUAGCGUAUAUUAAAGUUGUUGCAGUUAAAAAGCUCGUAGUUGAAUUUCGGGGUUAGUAGGCUGGUCGUGCCACAGGUAUGUACUGGUCUUACUGAUUCCUCCUUCCUGAUGAACCGUAAUGCCAUUAAUUUGGUGUUGCGGGGAAUUUGGACUGUUACUUUGAAAAAAUUAAAGUGUUUAAAGCAAGCUAACGCUUGAAUACAUUAGCAUGGAAUAAUGAAAUAGGACGUUCGAUCCUAUUUUGUUGGUUUCUAGGAUUGACGUAAUGAUUAAUAGGGAUAGUUGGGGGCAUUAGUAUUCAAUUGUCAGAGGUGAAAUUCUUGGAUUUAUUGAAGACUAACUACUGCGAAAGCAUUUGCCAAGGAUGUUUUCAUUAAUCAAGAACGAAAGUUAGGGGAU
rnacentral:rRNA from 1 species